GGACGAAAAGACCCCGUGAACCUUUACUAUAGCUUAGUAUUGACUCUGGACAAAUAAUGUGUAGGAUAGGUGGGAGACUUCGAUCUUGCGUCGCCAGGCGUGGGUGAGUCACUGUUGAAAUACCACCCUUUAUUUGUUUAGAGCCUAACUCCUAACGGAGGACAGUGCUUGGUGGGUAGUUUGACUGGGGUGGUCGCCUCCAAAAGAGUAACGGAGGCUUCUAAAGGUUCCCUCAACACGGUUGGCAAUCGUGUGUAGAGUGCAAUGGCAUAAGGUAGCUUGACUGA
rnacentral:rRNA from 1 species